UUUUGUUUUUUGUUUCUGUGAGGGUGUGUGUGUUCCCACGUCUGCUUGCAUCUGUGUAUGUAUGUAUAUACGUACGUUCUAGCUUAUUCUCUUUUCACAGUCCUUCUCCUCUAUCACAAAUUCUUAAAGUUUUGUAUUCUAUAGAUUCACGAUAUAAUUUGUGAAAGAUUUCUAUAUCUCUGGACUAAUUUUUGAGAAUACUUAAAUUUAUGACUAUCUUCAUCACUGUUUUAUAUCGUAUUAUGCCGUGUCCUGUGUGUGUGUGUGUGUGUGUCCCGACCCUGUUUUCAUAUUAGGUCAUGUCGCGAGGUCAACUUAAUCUACCUUUUUAAUGGAGUUUCGCCGCAUGCUAGUUUGACCUUAAUUAACUUCGGAAUCAUGUAUUUAGUGGUUGGCCCAAUUCACGUUUGUGGCAGCAUAAUAUGUCCUCUACAUUUACCUUUCAGUAUCAUAUGACUAUAAAACAAUAAAAAACAAUGCCUUUUUAAUAAAACCCUCGAGGCAGGAGGAAAGGAAGGUGGGCAAAGAAGAAGAAAAAAGCUUAUUUUCGCUGAAUUAAAAGAAGAAACACGUCACAACUUGUGGGAAAAAAUGUUCUGCGCUGACAGGGAAGGAGAGAGAAAAGUUUCUUGAGUGGUGGCGUAAAGUUCUGAAGUUCAUUAAGAGUGAAGUGUGAAGUUGUGUGUUGGAUGAUAAUAAGAAGGAAGCGCCAGAGAGGGAACGACGGGGAGGACAUGGGCGGUAUGGGAUGGAGUGUAGUGGAUUGGAGAGGAGUGGAGAAUGGCAGUUUAGUGAGGGAGCGGGAAGGGAGUGGAUCAGGGUUUUGCUGGUGGGAAACGAUUAAGCCAGGAAGGAGGAGGGCAGUUUGUGAGGAGAGGGACUCGGUAGCAAAAACUGAGGUGUGGUAAGAACAUCCGAGACAGGAGAUGAGACGAGGUGAAGAUGCUCAAAGUGAAGCUGACCAAGAAAACACGGAGAUAGGGAAAUUGUAAAAAACCUAGAAAAUGGCUGCAAGAAAAGCGAAAAGAUGGAUAGGUGGAGCGAAAUAUAACUGAUCGGAAAAAAAAUGAUAAGCUACUACAAGAAAAUGGAGAAUAGAACAUUAGCAAAAGGUGGUACAUGGGGAAGGAUUGGAGUGAAGAAAAGGAUGACAAACUGAAAUGUAAUAUGAGGUGGAGAGAUAUGUAACUUAAGGGAACAUUGACCGCAUUUUGAGUGAAAAUCCGAGUCAAAAGCAAAAAUGAGCUAUCCACACCAAAAAAUCGACCAAUGCUUCGGCAACAAUCUCCCAAAGUUUGAGGCCGAAAGUAUGUAUGUUAAAGAUUUAAAGGGCCGGGGGCGUGGUUUGUUUACUCUUUGGCAUUUAUAUUACGUUCUCAGAUACCCCAUGUGCUUUCUCAUUUUCCAUAAUAUUUUUUCCUUGAAUUUUUGCGGGAUUUUUUUAAAAUACUUACCUGGAUGUAUUUGGCAUCCAUCCAUGAGUGGAAAAAGGAGGGGAGAGGCGAGUGAGUGGGAGACAAUGACUGAUUAGUGUCGGUCAAGGUCAGUGGGGGGAUUGCACGCCGCAUACGCUUCUGCUAAACGUCGCAUUUACAGGCGUCAACAAGCUUAAUUGUUUUGCUAUCUUGUCUGAAGACUACGACAGCAUGCCUAGACCGAAGAAACACAUACAUCUGCGACGUGAGCAUGCUAAGAAAGCUACCAGACCCUUCGUUGCGGCAAGACAAGCGGCUGCAAGCCCACGUUCUCGACCCUCACUCGCGGCUCUGUCCCUCACGCCAGCUACAACCACUACUGACUUUGCCCCUCCUACCUCGACUGGUGCUGCUCUAAGUGUUCCUACAAGUGCUCAAAAAAGAAAUUCCUAGUUUGAAACACAAAAAAGAAAGAGGGACAUAGUAAAGUCAGAGCUAUCUUUGAUGUUGAAGAUGCUUCAAGAAAUCGCAGUUUUCUCAAAUGUAGUUUUCUUCACUUUUAAUUGACACUACAUCGUUAGUUUUUGUGAUAUUGACUCCAUUUUUUUUUUUUUUUUUUGCAUUGUCCUUGUCUUUCUAUUGCCUACGCAUUUUAUGUCUUGGUUUUAACUUAUAAUGAAAAAAAAAUUCAUAUACAUAAAUACAAAUUUUCUAAGCUGUGUGUAUAGUCAUACAUAAAUAUAUAUUUUUUCCCAUACUAUACAUUUUUGGGUAAAAGUAGGCAUAACAUCCAUUAAGGAUUAUAUAAUUAAUUUUGUCACUGACAAUUUGUAAAUAAUGAUGAGAUGAUUUAGUUUUCAGCAGUAUUGAGCUAAAAUUUGUAUAAGUCAAAUUUAUAUAAAAAUAUUUUUUUCUCUCUUUCUUUUUCAUAUCUCGUCCUACAAUUUAUACACACAUAAGUAGGUAUCUUAGCUAGUAAUAGCAAAUAUAAAUCAUCCAUGUUAAUUAACAAUUUCAUAAAUCUUACAAAAUGCGGACAAUGUUCCCUUAAAAGAACAACAUUUACAGAGGUCAGAGAAGAUGGUAUUGGAUGAAGGGGCGUGGAGCAUGAAAGUGACAUAAAAAACCGUAAUGGGGUGGGACGGGGCUGGUUGGAGGAAAAAAUGGAGGCAAAAAGGGACUGAACGGAGGGAAAAUGAGGGAACAGAGAUUAUUAUGGUAGGACUGGGUUGAGUUGAGAGAAAAGUGGAGACGGGAAGGAACCGGACGGAGUAAGAGUGACAGAAAACAAAAUGAUGCAAGGACGGGGUUGGCUGAGGCAAAUAACAGGAACAAAAGGGAACUACCAGAUGAAGGAAAGUUAACCGAAGAAAAAAUGCAAGGGUUAGGUUUGUUGGAGCUAAAAUAGGAGACAGUAAUGAACAUGGUGGAGAGUAAGUGGCGGAACGAAGUAAUGUGAGUGUGGGAUUGGGCCGAACAAACAAAAAAAAAAGGAAUCGGAUAGAGAAAUUUAAGAAUGACGGAAAAAAAAUUAUGUUCUGACAGGAUGGUAUGGGGCAAUAUUCAUGGGUGAGGAAGAGAUAGAACGAACAAAAUAUUGGUUAAAAACUGGGAAAGGGACGAGGUUAUGCAGAGUAAAAUGGUGAAAAGUGGAAGGGACACGAUAGAAGGAAAGUGACAGAAAAGAAAUAAUAAAAAUAUGGGAAAGGGACGAGGUUAUGCAGAGUAAAAUGGUGAAGAUUGGAAGGGACAGGAUAGAAGGAAUGUGACGGAAAAGAAAUGCUGCUGGAUGGGGUAGGAGCUACGAAACCUUUAGGAGUCUUUUGUAAUCCUCUGGGAUGUGUAUAGGAGGCUCAGCACACAGUAUUACAUGUUCUCUGUGAAGGUCUUUGUGUAGGCGAGAUUAUGAGGCCAUAUUAAAGUUGACGUGAAGUGUCUGCCGCAGCGCACACAACUGGGACAAGCUGGCUCAAGGGAGUGACUAGGACAGCCUCCUUGAUGAGGAUUAAUGGACGUGAGUAAGUAGGCCCCAAAAAAUUUUUAGACAAUCAAGAACAGACGAAGUUACCCGCUUGGUCUACACUGGAAAACUUGCAUCAGAAUAUACAUUAAAACUAAAUAUAUAAAAGGGGCAUCGUGAAGCUUUAAAGAAAGCAUAUUCACAUAUCCCUUAAUAAGGAUUUAUGGGAAUAUCUUUGAAGAUUAACUAAUAGGACAAGAUAUUAAAAGAAAGGCUGAAUACAUGAAGAAAAUGUAUCAUGAAAUUUUAAAAGCUGUUAAACACUUGGAUAUCUUAAUUAAGUCUCUUCAGACAACUUCACACUUCAUGACAUCAAAGGUCAGCGAAACAAAGGAACAUCAACUUUUUUUGCCAGCAGAGAAGAGUAAGGCUUAGCGAGGAAAGCUCCGUCUCCAGAACACCAAUGAGGUACGGGAAGGCCGCCUCUAUAGGAUCCCAAGUGGCGAGGGGAGGAUCUAUCGUUCCUUGGGGGAUUCUAUAAGUUUAAACCAUUAAGGAAGAUGAGGACGCCACCAAAUUAUCUUUAGGGGACUAGGGAAUCAUUAUAUCUUCUCGAAGGAAGGAAGAAAAAAAAAAGACAUUAAUCUAUAAGUAGCA